GCGGAGGAAAAGAAAAUAACAAUGAUUUCCCUAGUAACGGCGAGUGAAGAGGAAAGAGCUCAAAGUUGGAAACUGUUUGGCUUAGCUAAACCGUAUUGUAAACUGUAGAAACAUUUUCCUGGCACACCAGAUUAAUAAGUCCUUUGGAACAAGGCAUCAUGGAGGGUGAGAAUCCCGUCUUUGAUCUGAGUAGUUGUCUUUUGUGAUAUGUUUUCAAAGAGUCAGGUUGUUUGGGAAUGCAGCCUAAAUUGGGUGGUAAAUCUCACCUAAAGCUAAAUAUUUGCGAGAGACCGAUAGCGAACAAGUACCGUGAGGGAAAGAUGAAAAGAACUUUGAAAAGAGAGUUAAACAGUAUGUGAAAUUGUUAAAAGGGAACCGUUUGGAGCCAGACUGGUUUGCUUGUAAUCAACCUAGAAUUCGUUUUGGGUGCACUUGCAGGCUAUACCUGCCAACAACAGUUUGAUUUGGAGGAAAAAAUUAGUAGGAAUGUAGCCUCUCGAGGUGUUAUAGCCUACUAUCAUACUCUGGAUUGGACUGAGGAACGCAGCGAAUGCCUUUAGGCAAGAUUGCUGGGUGCUUUCGCUAAUAAAUGUUAGAAUUUCUGCUUCGGGUGGUGCUAAUGUUUAAAGGAGGAACACAUCUAGUAUAUUUUUUAUUCGCUUAGGUUGUUGGCUUAAUGACUCUAAAUGAC
rnacentral:rRNA from 2 species